GACGAACGCUGGCGGCGUGCUUAACACAUGCAAGUCGAACGAAGUGGCGAACGGGUGAGUAACGCGUAAUCAACCUGCCUUUCAGAGGGGGACCACAGUUGGAAACGUCUUCUAAUCCCGCAUACUGAAGGUGGGUAUUGCGUUUGAUUAGCUAGUUGGCGGGGGAACGGGCCACCAAGGCGAGGAUCAGUAGCCGGUCGGAGAGGAUGAAAGGCCACAUGGGGAAUGAGAAACGGACAAGAAUCCUACGGGAGGCAGCAGUAGGGAAUCUUCCGCAAUGGACGAAAGUCUGACGGAGCAACGCAGCGUGAGUGAUGACGGCCUUCGGGGUGGAAAGAACUGUUGGAAGGAAAGCGGUACCGGAAGAAGAAGCAACGGCUAACUACGUGCCAGCAGCCGCGGUAAUAC
rnacentral:rRNA from 1 species